rnacentral:sRNA from 1 species
CACAUACAUUAACAACUAUACAAUGUAGGUCACUGUACCGCCUUCAACAAUGAGCAAAUUAUAUACCGCAUAGUCAGCUAUAAAAAGGCCACAAUGUAAAGCAAUUCAAACGAGAAAAGUAACGGCCUUAUUUAUAAAAAAAACAACUUAAUAUUACAUUUUUUUUUUUUUUGCAGUAUUCACAAAAUGCCAAAAAGAAAAGAAGAAAUGUCCCAUCACAAAGAAAGGUCCCAAAAAAACCUAAGCAGUCGUCUGCCAACAGCAGUUUCAAUCUUGACCAUUCAUACACCAGUCAUGAUCAUGUAGACUUAACGACAGCAUGCCUUGAAGAAGAAAUAGAAAUAGGAUUGAUAAAUUCUGCGGAAAUUGAAGACAUCGAACCUAAGCAGUCGUCUGUCAACAGCAGUUUCAAUCUUGACCAUUCAUACACCAGUCAUGAUCAUGUAGACUUAACAACAGCAUGCUUUGAAGAAGAAAUGGAAAUAGGAUUGGUAAAUCCUGCAGAAAUUGAAGACAUUGAACCUAUACAGACACAGCUAGAUCAUGUAGAUGUUGAAGAUAUACAACUAGAAGAGAGCCUUUAUUCUGACCCUGUUAGUUCAACAAUGCCUUAUGAAGAUUUGAAAAGUAAUCUACAGAAAUACCUAAGUACUUCAUAUACACUUGAUCAAAACAGUGACUACAUUCAAAUUAUGCAGUUGUACCCAUCUACAGGCACUGCAUCAGUAAAACUAAAUGUUACCAUUGACCAGAAGUUUGCAGCCAAAGUAUUUGUUCACCGGAUAGAACUUUGCUCUGAUCACCAAUUAUGGAAAGAUUUGCCAACAACAUUUGAUUCAAUUAUUAACAUUCAGUCUUUACUAUCUAAACUUGAGAGCUUCUCUGUGUGUGUUGGGAACUAUGAAAAUGACCUUAUCGAUGUAAUACCAAUUGGCAGCGCAGUGCAACAUGCUAAACCUGCUUCAACAAACUGUCAUGGUUAUAGAGAGGGUGAUUUCGGUGCAGUCAAGGGAACUAUAUCAUAUUCAUCAACAGUCCGCAAUGUUCAAUGUGCACUCCUUGUGCAAGGUCACAGAUGUUACCAGUGCAGUCAACUGAGACGUAUUUUAGUAGGCAGGAAGUACAGACAAGAAGAAAAGCAACGCAAAACUCAGGAAACCUCAGGCCCAACUGACUAUCUUCACAGUAAGAUGCAGCACAGCAAUAUGUCAAAGCUACAGCUGAUAGAAAAAAUUCACCAACAGAAAGACAAAAUUACAGAUCUGCAGAAUGAGAUUCUACGCACUAAAAACCAGUUUCAACGAGAGAUGGCAAGCAAAGGAGUUACACUAGACUUUAGCCAAUCACUUGAAAUUAAAGAUACCAUGGCAACAUGCAAUGCUGAGAUGGAAAAAGCAUGUCCUGAUGAAAAUUCAUAUCAAAGGUUGUUCUGGACUGAACAAAUGAAGUGUAUGAAUCUACAGUCAACAAAGGGUAUGCGAUGGCAUCCUAUGAUUUUGAGAUGGUGUCUCUAUCUCCGUCAAAAGUCGUCGUCAGCAUAUGAUGCCCUGAGAGAUUCCGGAUUCAUCACACUACCAAGUUCCAGAACCCUGUUUGAUUACUCUCAUUAUACCCGGAGUGACAACGGAUUUUUACCUGAUGUCAUUAAAGUCCUGAAGGAAGAAGCUACCAAAAGAGAUAUGUAUAGCACAGAGGAUGUUUGGAAAAAUUAUGUAGGAAUUCUCUUUGAUGAGAUAAAAAUCAAGUCUGACCUAGUUUAUGACAAGCAUACAGGGGAACUAAUCGGUUAUUGCAAUCUCGACAAAGUUGGCAACCAAAUUAUGGACAUGGAAAGGAGUUUUAAAGACAGUCCAUCUAAUGACAUUGCAAAAUACAUGCUGGUCUUAAUGGUAAGAGGUGUGGCUACAGAUCUGAAGUUUCCUUUGGCUGGGUUUGCAACACUAAGCAUUACAGCAGACUUUCUGUAUCCCAUAAUCUGGAAAGCGAUACGCAUAUUAGAGACAAGUGCUGCUCAACUUAAAGUUUUAUUCCUAACCUGUGAUGGUGCAUCAGCAAACCGUAAAUUUUUCAAUCUUCACGGACAAGUUAAUGACUUUGUUUACUUCACAGACAAUCCGUUUUCAGAAGAUGGCAGGAAAAUUUACUUUGUGUCAGAUGUUCCCCAUUUAAUUAAGACUACACGUAACUGCUACAGCAAUUCAUUUUCACACCUGAACACUCGCAAAUUGUGGAAUAAUGGAAAAGACAUAUCCUGGAUUCAUUUGUUGACCAUGUUUGAGCAACAUUGUGAGAUGUCACUUUACACUCCAUGUCCAAAACUGACAAGAAGCCACCUUGACCUAACACCAUUUGGACGCAUGAAAGUGAAUUUAGCUGCACAGGUAAGAAUUAUAAUCAUGUAUGGAUUAAGUUUACAAAUUUAUACAUGUAUAUGAGCCUUAGUUUAUAUGGUACGAAAUCAAAAUAAUUUAGUCUUUCUGAUUUUAUAAUGCAUUUUGAAUAUUGAUAUUUUAGCCCAACAUUAAUCAUGUAAAUGUGUGUUACAUGCAUAUACAUUUGUACACAAAUAUUUGUUUCUAAAAUAGCAGGGGUCAUAUAUCAUAUUGUACGAUCCUUUCAUUCAGAUAUACACAUUAUAAACAAGGCUCAUACAUUGUAUGUUAGACACUUAACCAGCCAUCUUUUGUUGGUGGGUCCCACUGCAGGCUUUAGAAACAAUUUCUGGGGAUUUCAAAAUCAAUCUCCCACAUGAUGACUGGUUUGUGUCUUGCGAUUUUCAUCUGAUAUGUUCAUAAAAAAAGACUAUUGGGCAGCAAAAACAUCAUAUACAUGUAUCUCAAACUUUGAUAGCAUAUUAUAUACUGUCGUACAGCAUGUACAGAGUAAAUUAUUAUUUGCACUAUUGACAUCUUGUUUCAUUGUUGCAAAAUAAAUGUACAGUAUAACUUGUACAAUGUAUAAUAAAUGAACAUGUACCAUAUAUAUGCAUUUGUACAUGCUUGUAUUAACUAUACAUGUAAAUUCACAAAUAGUACUUUUUGAAGAAGGAACAGGAAUGUCCGUUUGAUAAUCAUGAAAAUUGCUACUUUAGGGAAACCGUCUUAUAUCAUAAAUCAUAACUGCAUAAUAAUGCGAGUUCUGGUUAUUGUUAUUCAAUAGGAGUCCAAUUAAAAAAACUUGCAUUAAUCAUGUUAAUUUCUGAAUUUACAGUUAUUUAUCAUCAUUAUCAUGUAUAUGUAUGAUUUGUUACAAUUCUUUUAAAAUGGAUAAUCAAUUUCAGGUGCUGAGUUCUACUGUGGCAAAUGCUUUGGAGAUGAUGUACGGUGAUAAUGUUAGUGAAACAGUUAAUUUUCUCCGGAUAAUUGACAAAUUUUUUGACUGUCUAAAUGUCAGAAACCUCUAUGAGGGACGAAAUAAGCGGAAUCCGAAUUUGAAUCCAUACACCAAUAUAAAUGACGAAAGGCUUCAGUGGCUUACUGGUGACUUUUUAAGUUAUUUUGAUUUGUGGGAGCAAUCUGUUAUGCAGAGACCAGGUGAAUUUACAAACAAGCAGAGGAAAGGUAUGCUUUUAAGUAGACAAACAUUAACUGGUUUGAAGAUAAGUGUGCUUUCCAUUGUGGCAUGUGUCAAAUUUCUUCUUGAGAUUGGAGCUAAGUUUGUUUUAACCCACAACUUCAACCAAGACCCACUCGAACAACAUUUUGGGCAUUAUAGACAUAGAGCUGGUGACAACUCAAAUCCAACUGUGUAUGAUGUACGACACAUGAUGACGACAAUGCGAGCCGUAGGAGCCCAGGCCUUGGCACCACGACACUCUAACAUUAACAACAAGGAAAACAGAAAUAUGGUCAUUGACAACAGCAAGUUACCAAAACGUGGAAAUUACUUUUGAUUAAAUGUAUAAAUGUAUGUUAUAUUUCUGUUCUUUUCCCUAACCAUGCAUUGCAUUUGUGUAUACAUGUAUGGUGUGUGAUUAACAUGUACAAUCAACAAUGAUGUUAAGAUAAAUGUAUUAAAAAAGCAGAUAUACAAAAAAGGUAUGCAGUAUCUUAAUUUAAAUGUAUCGCAAAUUUUUUGGUUCAAUGAAUUAUAUUACAGUUAUAUUUCUUCAUGCAAAAUAACUCGAGCUGUACUCGUUUUAGUUUAUAUGAAUCUUCCACUUUAAGAAUUGUCCCUUCGUCCUGAAAUAUCUGCCACUGGACAUAAAACAAACUUUGUUAAUGUGUAGGGGAUCUUGCUUGUAUUAAUGAUGUUUUCUGUCACAUGGUUAUUGUGAUGUCAAAUAGAUUAAAUUGUCUUUCUGGUCCUGAAAUAGUUGCCACUGGACAUAAAACAAACUUUCUGUUAAUAAUUUGUAAAUAAUUAGGUACUAGUAAUUAGUAGUUUUGUUUGUUAAUUUGUUGUGUACAAUGUAUUAUAUAAUUAAUUUAACAUUUUGUAAUAUAAAAUAUAUUUGUGUUAUUUAAGGAUGUACUUAGGUGAGGUUUUGGAAUUUGUGUCAACUGUUGGGACUCCUUGGUGUUUUUCCAUACAAUACAAUGUAAAAUAUUAUGCCCCAUAACACUCAUGUAUUUUUUCAUAUCAGACUUAAUAGCUCAUGAAAGGUCAUUUACCAAAAUUUUAGAAGAUUCUUGAUUUUCUUUCUUAUGUUUUGAGACCCAAAUAAUACCCAUGCAAAUUAGAUAUAAGGUAAAAGUAUGCCAUAUUUUAAAUCUCAAUUAUCUGGAAAGAGAGGUCCAUGACCUAUCAAUAUUUUAGCUAAUCUUUACUCUUAAUUAUAUAUAUUAAUGCUCUAUAAGCUUAUAAUAUCAAUUUUAAUUUCUUAAUUUUUACCUAUCCUCACCAAAUUACAUCCUUAACAUAAUCCGUUAAAUGUCAGUUGUUGAUGAUUUUUUUUUUAACAUUGUCUCACUUGUUUGAACAUGUAUAUAUAUCUGAC